rnacentral:tRNA from 1 species
GGUGGCUCAGUGGUAGAGUACUUGCCUUGCAUGCAUAAGGCCCUGGGUUCGAUUCCCCAGCACCA